rnacentral:lncRNA from 1 species
AUUUACCUAAGUCAGUUGAACCCUAACAGGGCCAUGCACGUGAUUAAUCAGCUCUCAGCAUGAGUUAUCCACAUACCCAAAUCCCAGCUUCCAAUAAAGCUGCUAGCAAGGAAUGGGUCACUCAGGCUAACUCCAUCUUCUGCAUCAGCGCCUUCUUCUAGAGAACUCCCAGAGGCCUUCCUGACCCUCAGCGCUACAGCAGAUUGGGCGCAGAGUGGCUGUUCAGAGCUCCAGGCUCAACCUCCCACAGCGAUCCUGUUCCCCGCAGCCCGCAGAGCCUCCCACACCUGAAGCGCACGUGGGCUGCCUGCUGGGUCAGCACUUGCUGCGUAUGCCGGGCAGCCUGAGCACCAAGGAGGGGAACGCAGAGCCUCAGGCCGGCAGCGAAGCACACAGCUCUCCACGAUAGCCUGUUCUGAAUCCAGUCUGCGGUCUUCCUCCUAGUGCUUUUUCCUCCUGCUUCCCUGUCCCUGGAAUAAGCUACCU